rnacentral:rRNA from 1 species
AACGAACGCUGGCGGCAUGCCUAACACAUGCAAGUCGAACGAGAUCUUCGGAUCUAGUGGCGCACGGGUGCGUAACGCGUGGGAAUCUGCCCUUGGGUACGGAAUAACUCAGAGAAAUUUGUGCUAAUACCGUAUAAUGUCUUCGGACCAAAGAUUUAUCGCCCAAGGAUGAGCCCGCGUAGGAUUAGCUAGUUGGUGAGGUAAAAGCUCACCAAGGCGACGAUCCUUAGCUGGUCUGAGAGGAUGAUCAGCCACACUGGGACUGAGACACGGCCCAGACUCCUACGGGAGGCAGCAGUGGGGAAUAUUGGACAAUGGGCGAAAGCCUGAUCCAGCAAUGCCGCGUGAGUGAUGAAGGCCCUAGGGUUGUAAAGCUCUUUUACCCGGGAUGA